rnacentral:rRNA from 2 species
ACGACCAUACCCACUGGAGAACUCGGGAUCCCGUCCGCUCUCCCAUAGAUAAGCCAGUGAGGGCCGGAUCAGUAGUUGGGUCGGUGACGACCAGCGAAUACCUGGUGUUGUAUGUU